rnacentral:rRNA from 1 species
CCCUUAGAUGUUCUGGGCUGCACGCGCGCUACACUGAAGCUAUCAACACGUUUUCACUCCCUGAGAAGGGCGGGUAACCUUUUGAAUCAGCUUCGUGGUAGGGAUCGGGGCUUGCAAUUGUUCCCCGUGAACCAGGAAUUCCUAGUAGACGCGAGUCAUAAGCUCGCAUCGAUUAAGUCCCUGCCCUUUGUACACACCGCCCGUCGCUACUACCGAUUGAACGUUUUAGUGAGGCAUUUGGACCGACGCAUCUCAGUUUAACCGCUGGUUUGUGUUGGAAAGACUUCCAAACUUGAGCGUUUAGAGGAAGUAAAAGUCGUAACA